rnacentral:rRNA from 1 species
CAAUAGCGUAUAUUAAAGUUGUUGCAGUUAAAAAGCUCGUAGUUGGAUUUCUGGUAGGAGCGACCGUGCCGAACUUGAUUGUUCGAGUAUUGUGUUGUCUUCAGCCAUCCUCGUGGAGAACUUUUCUAACAUUAACUUGUUGGGAUUGGGACCCGCGUCGUUUACUGUGAAAAAAUUAGAGUGUUUAAAGCAGGCAUUAGCUUGAAUACAUUAGCAUGGAAUAAUAAGAUAGGACUUUGGUACUAUUUUGUUGGUUUGCAUACCAAAUUAAUGAUCAACAGGGACAGUUUGAGGAUAUUCGUAUGAACAUGUCAGAGGUGAAAUUCUUGGAUUUUGAUCAGACGAACUACUGCGAAAGCAUUUAUCAAGGAUGUUUUCAUUAA